ACUUCUUUUUUUAAAAUAAAUAUUGUGAACGCAUUUUCUUUUCUCUUGCGUUCACAUCAAAUAUUUAUUUUAUUAAAAAGAAGAAGGAAAACAUGAUUGAUGGAUUUAAUUUCUUUCUAAUAAUCGUUUACUAGAAAAUAAUUUUAAUUUCUUUCAGAAAAAUUAUUUGUAAACGAUUAUAAGAAAAUAAGAAAUUAAAUCAAAGAUCCGUCAACGAUUAACUUUUUUUCUCUUACAA
rnacentral:ribozyme from 11 species